AAACGUAGAAGGGACCGAUGGUAGAUGAUUGAGCAGUGGUGCCACCUGUAACACCUGCCAGAGCCAAAUGGGCAUAAAGAGUCAGGGCCUGAGUUAGAAAUUCAGUUCAAGAGACGCUCUAGAACGUGUGGAUGCGUCUUGAAACGGUUGCACUUCUAAUUGUUACGACAAAAUUGUGUUAAUACUGUGAUAAAAACGUGUUGUGUUAGAAAGACGAUUAAAGAAAAUUAGUAAUUUAUUAAUGGAUGUUGAACAUUAAUUGGUUCAAAUUUGAAUUGUGAAAUAAGAUUUUUACAACGUGGAAGAGAAGCAGAACGGGACACAAACGAUGCCAAAGCAAUGCAGGCAAAAUUUUGUACUUCUUCAUUUCUUAUUUCUUCAAUAAUUCCUUCUGUAGGGAUAGAUUUGAAUCGUAAUCAUGUAGUAUGCAGAUUCAUUUUAAUUUCAAGUGAUGUGGAAUUGCAGUUACAUAGAAAUGGUGACUGUUGUUGCAUCGUGUCGAUAUUGCAAGAUCGAUAAAAAUCGCACGCAUCCGGGUUUAACAAUUUUUAAAAAUAAAAGCCAUGGGUGACCGAAUAUAAAAUAAAGAAGAAACGUAUUCACGGAGUGAAUCAGUGUCAGAUACGUUACAACUGACGUGAUGUUAUUAGUACAUACCAAUGAAACAAUGGCGUGUUAAAUUAUUCAUGAGGUCAUUGUUGCAUCGUAACGCAGAUUCAAACGUCGAGCAAUUUGAGUUUCGCAGGCUAUAGUGGACCACGAUGCAUCUUUAUCCGAUGCCCUGAAGCAAAUGGCCGGUAUACAUAUGUCGAAAGAGUUGCGUCAGGCGAGAAGAAAAAUCUGCGAAUCGGACCGGUUGUAACAACGAGUCAAUCUACUAGAGAGGAAAAAAAUUCCAAGAUAUCGUGUGUAAGGUUCGCGUUACGUUCAGAAAGACAUACCGAAGAUAGCUAUCUCGGCUCUGUGUCGAUGUACGUCAGUAAAAAGAGAAAUUCUGCAUUAGAAAGAAUAGAUUAGUGAGAAAAUACUUUACGUCAAGAAUGCUACUCGACGGCGUUGUUCAUGAAUGCCAAUGUAAACUCAUUUUAAGAACAUUGAAAAAUAACUGGGAUAGAAGGAAUGAAGAAAAAAGCAGGAUGAUGAAUCAACACGUUUGGACAUUGGGAAUGGAUCAUGCGUUUGUUAGAUGCAAGGAGAAUGUAUUAACGGGAAGAGAGAGGGAGGUAUUCGUUAAACUUUUCACUGGAUUCCACUGGAACGAACUUGGUCCAAUUAAUGCGAUUACUAUGCACCGGAAGCUCCACAUUGUCGUAACAAGGAUGAUCAAAUUUUAAUUCGAAAAGGGAAUCUUAAUAGCACCUUGGGAUUUUAACCUCGCCCUCGUAAAGAACGGCUUAUGUGACUAAGUGGUCGUGAAAGGGUACAAAAAGGAUAAAAAAUAAAGAGAAGAAAGGAAAAUAAAAAAAGAAAGAGGUAUAUUACGUUUGAUAUGACGUGAAAAGCAGGAGAAGGAGGAGAAGAAUAUUCAUGAAGGAAAAAGAAACAGCAAGGGAACUCUAACUUCAGAAGAGGAUUUCCCUUUAUCAUUCAAAACAGCGCAGGAAGGAAACACAUGUGGGAAACAACGACAGAACUCUUCAACUCUUAUAUGCAAAUCACAAACGUUCUCAGUUAACAGGGAGUGUGACGAUCAAAGGGAUUGAAAACUUUCAGACAUGUGCACGUGCGUACACACUUAAUCGACAGUUAAAGGAGAAGAAAAAGAAAAGCG